AGCGGGGGUGGGAGCUGCGGACGGCCAUGUGCGCGGCGGAGAGGCCGGGUGGCCACCGAACCUUCCCGCCUGUUCUGCGGUGGGUAGGAGUUUGGAAACUAAUGUUCCUGUGCUAACCUUCGUGUCUCUGUGACAUGACUGUUGAAAGACGGAGAGUGCGGAAUCUUUGGAGUUUUAAGCUUGCCAACUGUGCGGCCUAGCAGAAUCCUGGGAGACGGAAGGACAGCCAAGAGGCUAGGAUUUACCUUUAAGUGUCCCUAGAUUCAACUAGGCAGACUGGGACGGGAGACGCUGUGAAGGUACCAGGGAAGGAACGAGUGAGGUUCCUUUUCCACUUUUUCAUAAACUCAACAGUCAGGUUCAUGACGAAGAUAUAGAUAUUUCUGUAGAUUUUUUCCCCAACAUUCUAAUUAUGCCUCAUGUUUCGUAGAUCCUAGUAACUGCUUGGAUUACUGCCACCUCAGAGGUAGAGAUCUGUUUUUCCGUGGCUGGAAUGCCAAAAAUUUUGUUGUAUUUUAUUAAGAAAGUAGCAAAAGUUUGGAGAUUUGCAAAGUUAAAAAAAAAAAAAGCAUUAUGAACUUAAUCUAGAUGUGAUUUGCUAAGGAACUUAAUAUAUUGAUAUGUUUUUCACAGGGGCGUCUGGGCAUGGCUUUCCCAACCUAGUAACUGCAACUUUUAGCAUCCUACAUGUAGGACUUGGGAAUAUGUGAGACAGCGCCAAGAAUUUAAUCCAGGAGAAUUGACAAGCUUAAAUGAAAUCCAUAUUGCCCACUGAUUUUGUGCAGCUUCAGAUAAGUAAUCUUUCUCCACUUAGCCUUUUGUAACAAUUGAUGUAAUAAAGGUUUGUAGUCUUUGUGUAAUUUAUUAAAGCAUUGUGCCUAAAAUAGAAAAAAA
rnacentral:lncRNA from 10 species